rnacentral:rRNA from 1 species
GUGAUGAAGGUUUUCGGAUCGUAAAGCUCUGUUGUUAGGGAAGAACAAGUGCCGUUCAAAUAGGGCGGCACCUUGACGGUACCUAACCAGAAAGCCACGGCUAACUACGUGCCAGCAGCCGCGGUAAUACGUAGGUGGCAAGCGUUGUCCGGAAUUAUUGGGCGUAAAGGGCUCGCAGGCGGUUUCUUAAGUCUGAUGUGAAAGCCCCCGGCUCAACCGGGGAGGGUCAUUGGAAACUGGGGAACUUGAGUGCAGAAGAGGAGAGUGGAAUUCCACGUGUAGCGGUGAAAUGCGUAGAGAUGUGGAGGAACACCAGUGGCGAAGGCGACUCUCUGGUCUGUAACUGACGCUGAGGAGCGAAAGCGUGGGGAGCGAACAGGAUUAGAUACCCUGGUAGUCCACGCCGUAAACGAUGAGUGCUAAGUGUUAGGGGGUUUCCGCCCCUUAGUGCUGCAGCUAACGCAUUAAGCACUCCGCCUGGGGAGUACGGUCGCAAGACUGAAACUCAAAGGAAUUGACGGGGGCCCGCACAAGCGGUGGAGCAUGUGGUUUAAUUCGAAGCAACGCGAAGAACCUUACCAGGUCUUGACAUCCUCUGACAAUCCUAGAGAUAGGACGUCCCCUUCGGGGGCAGAGUGACAGGUGGUGCAUGGUUGUCGUCAGCUCGUGUCGUGAGAUGUUGGGUUAAGUCCCGCAACGAGCGCAACCCUUGAUCUUAGUUGCCAGCAUUCAGUUGGGCACUCUAAGGUGACUGCCGGUGACAAACCGGGAGGAAGGUGGGGAUGACGUCAAAUCAUCAUGCCCCUUUAUGACCUGGGCUACACACGUGCUACAAUGGACA